rnacentral:ribozyme from 1 species
GUAACAUAAAGCCCUGUAACGGGAUGGGAUCUGAAGUCUCCUGAAGGUUCCAUCCAACUACUAUUCCGACACGUCCACGUCGUGUAGGGUGGUAACAUGGGCUUUCGGCUGGAUGAAGGCUCAUGGCUAAGAACGAAGUG